rnacentral:lncRNA from 1 species
UAUAUCUUCACUUCUCUUAACUUCAAAGAUAAUUAGAUAAACAUGAAAAAACUGAACAAAUUACGUUACCGAAAGUAUAUUUCAACUCAAAAAUAAAAAACAAUUGCUCGCCUAAACCAUAAAAUUGAUGAUUCAAACCCUCUUCAGCUUGACGCUCUGCUUGCAAUUUUUCAAAUAAACUGCAGAAAACCAUCAAAUAAACCUUUGAAUUUUCAGUUCCAAGCAAAACCCAGAAAGUAAAAGAUUACUAAUAUCAAGAAAAGGGAAAAUAUUACCCUUUAAAAGUCAGAAAAAGCUACCUUGUUUCACGUGGAAGAAAUAGCUCCAAAACAAAAAAUAACUGAUUUUACACUACGCAAUUCUUAGUUGUACAAAGACAAAGCAAGCCAUAAAAAUAGAUACCCACAAAUCUAAACAGAGAAAUGAGAAACACAACUAAUUGAAAUUUGGUUGCUAAUGGCGUAAGCCACGUUUAGUUUGGAAAAUUUUGACAUCAAAAUCUCGGAUUUGCGUGGUAGGUCCCAAUAUUGGCCAAUAUGUGCUACAUUUCCAUGGUCUAAUCAAAGACAAACAGAUAGAGCCAAACAUAUACAUAUAGUUUAGGUGUACGUAUAGGUAGAGAGAGAAAGAGAAAUAUGUGAACUGGUACGCACAACAGGCCCUCGACUCAAUGCCCACUAGGCACCACGACCACACCAGGAACCCCACUCAUAUG